rnacentral:rRNA from 1 species
UAGUUAUAUUCUUUAAACCUAAAGAAUUUGGCGGUGUUUUAGUCUAUUCAGAGGAAUUUGCCCCUUAAUCGAUAAUCCUCGUUAUAUUUUACUUAAUUUUGUUUUCAGUAUGUAUAUCGCUGUUAUAAGUUUAUUUUUUUAGAAUAAGAAUUUACUUUAUUUAUUAUUUUAAUUUAUUUCAAGUCAAGGUGCAGCUUAUAAUUAAGUGUGAGGUGAAUUACAAUAUUAUUUGAAUAUAUGGAUUUAAUUUUAAAAAUUUAAUGAAGGUGGAUUUGAUAGUAAUUUUAUUUAUUAUAUUAUUUUGAUUUUAGCUCUAAAAUAAGUACACAUCGCCCGGUCGCUCUA